UUGCUGGGGUUCUCUUAGGUCAAGAUAGUAAUUGGAAGUGUCAUUUUUGCGACAAUUGAACACACUCUGCAGUCAUGUUUGGGAUAUAGCAUAUGGUUCCAUGUCCAAGUUGUUGAACUUGGGUACAACUGAGCCGGCUUUGAAGGAGAAUGAGUAUUGGACAAAGUUCUAUGUAAUGCCAUGUUGAAUGAUGUGGAACCUUUGUGGAUGCGUCUAGAAAAUUGUCAUGGUUGAUGGCCUGAGUGCCUUCUGGGAAAAAAAUGGGAUGACUAAGGAAUCCAUAGAUAUCUUGACAAGCAAUUCAAUUCGACCUGCACCGACAUAAUUUAUGGUUUUGAUCAGUAAUUUGCACACUGUUUUUCAGUUUUAGGCAUUCUGAAUUAUUUCCUAUUUGUUUAAUCCUUGCAUUGUUUUAUGCUAUCGUCAUCUGCCUUCAAGCACUUGCUUUCUAGAAUUCUUUAGGAGCUCUGAAUUACUUUACAUGUAGGUCUACACACUUUGUCACGUUUCUUGUUUACUUGCAUCGACGGAAUCCUUUAACAAACAUUCUCCAUGGAUAGUUGAUUCAGAUGUAUGAUCAGUGCAACUUCAGUCAUAUCUCUGUGAAGAUGCAAGUUCUGUCUAAUGUUGAUGGCGAGUUGUUAACUCAUAUUAUUAUUGUUCAGAAUCCUUUGAAAGACCUGCUUUGCAGACUCUCAGAGAUGUUUCAGUCUAUGCGUUCUCCCUUCAGGCAACUCUGUUUGAUACCCGUGAACUUCCCUUGUGUCAGCCUUGGACAAUAACAUUGACAGGAAUGUUAGCGAUCACCGGUAGCUGGCUAAUUUUGCAUUCAAUGUUGGUAACGACAAUUAUAUCUUUGCUAAUAUGCUCAUGGUGGUACAUCUUCCUUUACUCUUACCCUAAGGCAUACACGGACAUGAUCGCUGAGAGAAGAAAGAGGGUAAGAAGUGGCAUCGAAGAUAUAUUUGGUUCGACAAAGGCUGACGGUAUAGACCAAACGUCCAACUGAUCAUUAGCUGAAGCGGAAGAAGAAGGGAUGAAGGGUGCAAAGUGCCGGUAUCUUGCGGACUGAUGAGGAAUUUUUGAAUGUCAAAAGCAUCUCAUGGAAUGAAAAGAUCUGUAUUUAACGUGAGCAGAAAACGUUCUUCAGUUUAUAGUCGGUAGUAUUGUAUAAUUGUGUUGCAAUGAAGAAAAUACAUUUUAUGUCUCGAGAAAAUGUUGAAGAAUGUCCUGAGUUGGAAGACAGCGUGAAAUGCAAGAACUGCAAGAUUCUU